rnacentral:rRNA from 1 species
UACGUAGGGGGCUAGCGUUGUCCGGAUUUAUUGGGCGUAAAGAGCGUGUAGGCGGCCAGGUAGGUCUGGUGUGAAAACUCGAGGCUUAACCUCGAGAUGUCAUCGGAAACCAUUUGGCUAGAGUCCGGAAGAGGAGAGUGGAAUUCCUGGUGUAGCGGUGAAAUGCGCAGAUAUCAGGAGGAACACCGGUGGCGAAGGCGGCUUGCUGGGCCAGUUCUGACGCUGAGGAGCGAAAGCGUGGGGAGCGAACAGG